AUACCGGUGGCGAAGGCGGCCCCCUGGACAAAGACUGACGCUCAGGUGCGAAAGCGUGGGGAGCAAACAGGAUUAGAUACCCUGGUAGUCCACGCCGUAAACGAUGUCGAUUUGGAGGUUGUGCCCUUGAGGCGUGGCUUCCGGAGCUAACGCGUUAAAUCGACCGCCUGGGGAGUACGGCCGCAAGGUUAAAACUCAAAUGAAUUGACGGGGGCCCGCACAAGCGGUGGAGCAUGUGGUUUAAUUCGAUGCAACGCGAAGAACCUUACCUGGUCUUGACAUCCACAGAACUUUCCAGAGAUGGAUUGGUGCCUUCGGGAACUGUGAGACAGGUGCUGCAUGGCUGUCGUCAGCUCGUGUUGUGAAAUGUUGGGUUAAGUCCCGCAACGAGCGCAACCC
rnacentral:rRNA from 1 species